rnacentral:rRNA from 1 species
CCUACGGGUGGCAGCAGUGGGGAAUAUUGGACAAUGGGGGCAACCCUGAUCCAGCCAUGCCGCGUGUGUGAAGAAGGCCCUCGGGUUGUAAAGCACUUUCAGUGAUGAAGAACGCCUGGUGGUUAAUACCCAUCAGGAAAGACAUCACUCACAGAAGAAGCACCGGCUAACUCCGUGCCAGCAGCCGCGGUAAUACGGAGGGUGCGAGCGUUAAUCGGAAUUACUGGGCGUAAAGCGCGCGUAGGUGGCUUGAUAAGCCGGUUGUGAAAGCCCCGGGCUCAACCUGGGAACGGCAUCCGGAACUGUCAAGCUAGAGUGCAGGAGAGGAAGGUAGAAUUCCCGGUGUAGCGGUGAAAUGCGUAGAGAUCGGGAGGAAUACCAGUGGCGAAGGCGGCCUUCUGGACUGACACUGACACUGAGGUGCGAAAGCGUGGGUAGCAAACAGGAUUAGAUACCCGAGUAGUC